rnacentral:tRNA from 1 species
GUACUACUGAUUUCCAAUCAUUAAGUUCUGGGUAACACCAGAGAAAAAUA